GAAACGACUGCUAAGACUGGAUAGGAGAUAAGAAGGCAUCUUUUUAUUUUUAAAAGACCUAGCAAUAGGUAUGCUUAGGGAAGAGCUUGCGUCACAUUAGUUAGUUGGUGGGGUAAUGGCCUACCAAGACGAUGAUGUGUAGCCGGGCUGAGAGGUCGAACGGCCACAUUGGGACUGAGACACGGCCCAAACUCCUACGGGAGGCAGCAGUAAGGAAUUUUCGGCAAUGGAGGAAACUCUGACCGAGCAAUGCCGCGUGAACGAUGAAGUAUUUCAGUACGUAAAGUUCUUUUAUUAGGGAAGAAAAGAUGGUGGAAAAACCAUUAUGACGGUACCUAAUGAAUAAGCCCCGGCUAACUAUGUGCCAGCAGCCGCGGUAAUACAUAGGGGGCAAGCGUUAUCCGGAAUUAUUGGGCGUAAGGGGUGCGUAGGCGGUUAAAUAAGUUUAUGGUCUAAGUGCAACGCUCAACGUUGUGAUGCUAUAAAAACUGUUUAGCUAGAGUUGGAUAGAGGCAAGUGGAAUUCCGUGUGUAGUGGUAAAAUGCGUAAAUAUACGGAGGAACACCAGAAGCGAAGGCGGCUUGCUGGGUCUUAACUGACGCUGAGGCACGAAAGCGUGGGGAGCAAACAGGAUUAGAUACCCUGGUAGUCCACGCCCUAAACGAUGAGUACUAAACGUUGGAUAAAACCAGUGUUGAAGUUAACACAUUAAGUACUCCGCCUGAGUAGUACGUACGCAAGUAUGAAACUUAAAGGAAUUGACGGGACUCCGCACAAGCGGUGGAUCAUGUUGUUUAAUUCGAAGGUACCCGAAAAACCUCACCAGGUCUUGACAUACUUUUGCAAAGCUGUAGAAAUACAGUGGAGGUUAUCAGAAGCACAGGUGGUGCAUGGUUGUCGUCAGCUCGUGUCGUGAGAUGUUGGGUUAAGUCCCGCAACGAGCGCAACCCUUGUUGUUAAUUGCCAUCAUUAAGUUGGGGACUUUAGCAAGACUGCCAAUGAUAAAUUGGAGGAAGGUGGGGACGACGUCAAAUCAUCAUGCCCCUUAUGACCUGGGCUACAAACGUGAUACAAUGGCUGUUACAAAGGGUAGCUAAAGCGUAAGCUUCUGGCGAAUCUCAAAAAAGCAGUCUCAGUUCGGAUUGAAGUCUGCAACUCGACUUCAUGAAGUUGGAAUCGUUAGUAAUCGCGAAUCAGCAUGUCGCGGUGAAUACGUUCUCGGGGUUUGUACACACCGCCCGUCA
rnacentral:rRNA from 1 species